AUACGAACCGUCCAAACGUUAUUCGGAAUUAUUGGGCUUAGAGGGUGCGUAGGCGGUGCGGUAAGUUGGGUGUGAAAUCCCUCGGCUCAACCGAGGAACCGCGCCCAAUACUGUUGCACUAGAGGGAGACAGAGGUAAGCGGAACUGAUGGUGGAGCGGUGAAAUGCGUUGAUAUCAUCAGGAACACCAGUGGCGAAAGCGGCUUACUGGGUCUCUUCUGACGCUGAGGCACGAAAGCUAGGGUAGCGAACGGGAUUAGAUACCCCAGUAGUCC
rnacentral:rRNA from 1 species